UACGAAGGGUGCAAGCGUUACUCGGAAUUACUGGGCGUAAAGCGUGCGUAGGUGGUUUGUUAAGUCUGAUGUGAAAGCCCUGGGCUCAACCUGGGAAUUGCAUGGGAAACUGGCAGGCUUGAGUGUGGCAGAGGAGGGUGGAAUUCCGCGUGUAGCAGUGAAAUGCGUAGAGAUGCGGAGGAACACCGAUGGCGAAGGCAGCCCUCUGGGCCAACACUGACGCUCAAGCACGAAAGCGUGGGGAGCAAACAGG
rnacentral:rRNA from 1 species